rnacentral:rRNA from 1 species
ACCUGGUUGAUCCUGCCAGUAGUCAUAUGCUUGUCUCAAAGAUUAAGCCAUGCAUGUCUAAGUAUAAGCGACUAUACUGUGAAACUGCGAAUGGCUCAUUAAAUCAGUUAUGGUUUAUUUGAUGGUACCUUGCUACUUGGAUAACCGUAGUAAUUCUAGAGCUAAUACAUGCAGGAGUUCCCGACUCACGGAGGGAUGUAUUUAUUAGAUAAGAAACCAAACCGGUCUCCGGUUGCGUGCUGAGUCAUAAUAACUGCUCGAAUCGCACGGCUCUACGCCGGCGAUGGUUCAUUCAAAUUUCUGCCCUAUCAGCUUUCGAUGGUAGGAUAGAGGCCUACCAUGGCGUUAACGGGUAACGGAGAAUUAGGGUUCGAUUCCGGAGAGGGAGCCUGAGAAAUGGCUACCACAUCCAAGGAAGGCAGCAGGCGCGUAAAUUGCCCGAAUCCUGACACAGGGAGGUAGUGACAAGAAAUAACAAUACAGGGCUAUUUUAGUCUUGUAAUUGGAAUGAGUACAAUUUACAUCUCUUCACGAGGAUCAAUUGGAGGGCAAGUCUGGUGCCAGCAGCCGCGGUAAUUCCAGCUCCAAUAGCGUAUAUUAAAGUUGUUGCAGUUAAAACGCUCGUAGUCGGAUUUCGGGGCGGGCCGACCGGUCUGCCGAUGGGUAUGCACUGGCCGGCGCGUCCUUCCACCCGGAGACCGCGCCUACUCUUAACUGAGCGGGCGCGGGAGACGGGUCUUUUACUUUGAAAAAAUCAGAGUGUUUCAAGCAGGCAGUCGCUCUUGCAUGGAUUAGCAUGGGAUAAUGAAAUAGGACUCUGGUGCUAUUUUGUUGGUUUCGAACACCGGAGUAAUGAUUAACAGGGACAGUCAGGGGCACUCGUAUUCCGCCGAGAGAGGUGAAAUUCUCAGACCAGCGGAAGACGAACCACUGCGAAAGCAUUUGCCAGGGAUGUUUUCACUGAUCAAGAACGAAAGUUAGGGGAUCGAAGACGAUCAGAUACCGUCGUAGUCUUAACCAUAAACCAUGCCGACUAGGGAUUGGAGGAUGUUCCAUUUGUGACUCCUUCAGCACCUUUCGGGAAACUAAAGUCUUUGGGUUCCGGGGGGAGUAUGGUCGCAAGGCUGAAACUUAAAGGAAUUGACGGAAGGGCACCACCAGGAGUGGAGCCUGCGGCUUAANNNNNNNNNNNNNNNNNNNNNNNNNNNNNNNNNNNNNNNNNNNNNNNNNNNNNNNNNNNNNNNNNNNNNNNNNNNNNNNNNNNNNNNNNNNNNNNNNNNNCCCCUCCAGAGAGAGAGGCUGCGAUGGAAAGUGGCGAAGUGGUUCAGGAUACGGCACGAGGUCAAGAAAUGGAGCGGCACAAUGAGCGACGGAUAUAGGAGGGAAUGGGAGGGAGAGGGCUUUUGGAGGGAGCCAAACCUGGCGCAGCUCUGGAAGGCCCUCGAGGCUCAGCCGCAGCUGGCGAAUAGAGAAAGGCGCGCGAGGGCAUUGGCGGUCUGUGAGCGCGAACGACGCGACGCUGAACAGGAAUUCCUCCUGUGCCCGCGGACGGGGGGGGAGAAACUCACAGAGGUGAUGCAGGAGGUUGCGACAGAGAAUAGCGGCAACAAUGCCAGGAGAGUCUUCGAGAUUCUGAACAAGGAGAUGGGCAGAAGAGCGGGCGGGGGGGAGCUGGUUGCGAUGUAUGAGGGAGGUGAGUGGGUAACCUGCCAGACGACGGGAGAGCAGGUCUGGCAAAGACACGUGGUGCGAGGGGACGAAGUCCGCGACGCCGCGGCGAGGAGGGGGAAGGAGAUCAACGCGCGGAGGGAGGCGGACAUGGUGGCGGUCGAGGCGCUCCUAGCAAUGACAAAACCAGCCAGGGCGGAGGCCCAGCCCCCGGGGGUGGAGGGGACAGGACGGCUCGUGGCUAACGCGUUGACGUGGUCGGCGUGCGAGGCGGCGAUCAGGAAAUUCAAGAAAGGAAAGGCCAUAGGCAGCGACAAACUAGACGGGUACCUGAUCCGACUUUCGCCGAGGGGAGUGCAGAGGGAGUACUGGAGGCUGCUGCAGGAGAUUGUGCGGGAGGAGCAGUAUCCCAAAGUGUGGAACGACUGGAUUGCUAUGAUGGCAAUGAAGCCGGGGGAGGAUCCGAAGGAGCUCGAGAGGAGGCGGGACCUUUGGGUACAACCACAAUCUAUGAAGGGGCUGAUGCGCAUGCUACUGCCAGAAUACGACAGAGCGGCAGCACACACGGUACCGGGCUCGCAGAGCGGCUUCACCAAGGGGAUGAAUGCACCUGCGCAGACGCUAACGGCAAGGCUGCACGCGGAGGAGUGCAUGAUAGAAAGGAAGAUGUGUGUGAGAGGAUACAUAGACUUAGGCACGUACUUCAUGAGCGUCGUGAAUGAGGUGCAAUGGAGAGUGGAGGAGUGGGCCGGUGUGCCAGCAGACGUCACGAGAGUGCUAAAGGCACUGAGGGAAGGGCUCGGCGACCUGCCAGGGCUAACAGGCAGAUAUGAGACGGGCUAUGGGCUCAGCCCGAGGUUUGAUAUUGAACAGGGAUUAGGCCAGGGCUGCCUGCUCUCGCCUACACGGAGUAAGCUCAUGCUCGCGGUGAUGCAGCGAGCAGUGAGCAAAUUAUGCCAGGGGUUCGAGUUCACUGCGGCAGGGGAGAGCGUGCCGCAGUUAGUAUACGCAGACGACUGCCUGCUGUUGAGUAACGAUAUAGCCACGAUGCAGCUCGCGCUCGAGUGCGCCUGGCUGGUCACCAAAAUAUGCGGAAACAGCCUACAGGUGAAAAAGAAGAAGAAGUCUGCAUGGUCCGCGACCUACUGGAAGGAGGGGACGGAAGUGGACGUGACGGGGUACGAGAUGAAGAUGCCAGACGGGACAAUA